rnacentral:tRNA from 1 species
ACAUCCGUAGCUCAGCAGGAGAGAGCAUCGGCCUCCUAAGCCGAAGAUCGGGGCUCGAGCCCCCGCGGGUGUG